CGAACGCCAUAUCGAAAUUGAAGGAUCGACAAGAUAACUGAAACAGAAAAGUAGAAAAUAAUACCGAUCAAUGAUAUAAAGAAAGUCACAACACUUAUAAUCAGCUUGAUUUUACGUUUGAAAAAUUGCAAUAAUAUAAUUGAAAACUACUAAUAAUAUCUAGAACUAUAAUAGAUAUAUUCAAAUAAUUACAACAUUGAAAGUCUUAUUAGAUUAUUCCACGCACUACCGUGAAACCUUUCACUGCGAUCUUUUCGUUUGUGAUACGUGCAUCAAUUCGAUUGUAUAAUCGCAAGUGUAAUGAGUACAGUUUGGUGAUUCCCUAUAGUGAUGAUACAAUAAUUGACAAUCACUAUUUUCACAAGUAAAUAAACGAAGUAUAAAGCUGAAUGAAAAAUCAUGUGAAAGAGAAAGGAGAAAAGAAAUUGAAACCAAUGUGUUAUUUAUCAUAAAUUCUAUAUAAUGUACUUUAAGAGGCAUUUAAUAAGAAUGGGAAAAAAACUCAAAGUGCUUUCGUCUGAUCAAAAUGUACAGACAUGACAGUUAAGACGCAUCAGUAUCGAAUGAUAUAACAUCUUGGAGCAAUGACUGUGUGAAUCUCGUGACAUUUACAAGAGAUGUUCGUCUGCCACACGAUUGGCAGAUACGUGAGUGCAUCUAAGCAGAUGAUUCGUAAAUCUUGACAGUAAUCGCUCGAUAAAUCGCUAGAUGAUUCAUUAAAAUAUAUCUAAAUAUACGUCCUUGGAUACCUUUUUUUUCUUCUCAAUACACCAUUUCGUUUUAUUGACUAUUAAAUUAUAGUUCUUGUGCUAUUUUAGUGUACAGUGUUCACGUUGAGGAAGCUUCACCAGCUUUAUUAGAAGCCAAAGGGCAAUAGUGGUAUUGUAAAAUCACGUAAGAAGAAGAGUUUAUACCUUUCACCUUAUUUCCUUAUAGUGUUAUGGCACUAGUCUGCAGUGCACUAAAUGACAAUAUGAAAGUCAACAGUGUUUAGAAAAUAUUUGCUCAAAUAAUCAUGAUAUCAAUAAAAAUGGAUGUCUUUGAGAGAAUAGAAGUUAAAUAUUAUAUUAAAUAUUGUAAAAUCAAUACUUCAAUUAUAUAACAUAGCUUGUUAACUGUAUGGCCAAUCAAGAGGUCGGUCAACCGCGACUUCAACUGCUGCAAUAUAGUAGUACAGUAUUUUGCAUCGAAGCAAAGAUCAUUUACUUUUACCUCUACUCCGGAAAACGUCCUCAGGGUUAUAUUGCACACUCGUUAUUACUUGAAACAUUUACACCUGGAUGAAUCGCCAAACUUCCGAUCUAAAAACCUGAUAUCACACUUGCACGAGAACCCAUUUAUUACAACAAUUAUUAUUCAAUUGUUUUAAUUAUUAUUAACAAUAAUUAUUUACUGUUUUUAAUAUGAAUUGAUUUAUUAUUGAAUAUUUAAUAUGACAAAAACUAGCGCAUCCUUCACGAACCAUCCACGCUCCGUUCUAUUUCUUUCUCUUUCAUUCUCCCAACCGCACUUGGAAAGUAAAGGUCUCGAAUCCUGAUGAUGUUUAAGUUACAAUAUUACGCAAUCAAGAGAAGGUGCUCGAGUCUAGAAAGAAAGAGGGCACGAGUAGAGAACAUUUGACUUGAGACACAUUCUUAAUCUUUAAAUAAUUGCCGGAAGUAUCCUCCACACAUCCUGCACUUUUGAAGUUUUCAGUUUAAAGAAUCAUAUGGACAAAUAUAAAAUAAUAAUAUUAAUAAUAAAAAUAAUAACAAUUAAAGUCACUGCCCACACAUUUUGACCGCAUUAAAUCCACAUGUGUGAAAUAAAAUUAACAUUAUAAGCAUCAUCUUACACAUUCUUGGCUUGUGUAGAAAGAAUAUGAAUAAUAAGAAGAAGAAUUACAAGUAGCUUACCCUGCAACAGAAGUCCAUGCAGCGCGAGGUUCAUGGCUAUGGAUCGCACUCGUGAGAUCUAAAAUAAAUGUUAUCAGUUAAUCAUUUAUUAAUAUAAUAAAUAAAGUAUUAUACAUACUUAACAAUAACUAAUUGAAAUUUAAAAUAUACAAAAGGAUUAUAUGGUCAAGAAUUUUCACCUUACGUAAAGUAACACUAGCUUCCAUGAACACUGCUUUCCCUAAUUUCUAUAUCAACUGAUUUAAAAGACUAACUACACCUGAUGAUUAUUUUUUCCUUGACCAUAAUUCAUAAAUCGCUGAAGUAAUAUUUUAGUAUUUUAUAUUUAAUAUCUAAUAUAUUAACAAUAUAUUCAAACCUCUUCACCAACCAGUCUACCAAUAAAUAAUAUAAUCGAAACCUAGAGAAAGUGAUAUCUUGCUGCAAGUGGUCAAUCUAACUCGUGGUUUCAUGACGACUUGUUCAACCGUAAAACGUGUAUCAUCUUGAUGUAGAGAAAACCGAGUUCUUGUUUGAUAUGAAUUUAUUUUCUCGCACGUGUAACAAGUGUCAAUUCUAAUGAGAUAGUAAUGGAAAAAUUACAAAAUAUUUACUUUGAUAUUUAAUGACAAUUUUGAAAUAUACUUUCACUGGAGAAUAAAAAUAUUUGGAGAGCAUAAAUAUAGUGGAGAAGAAUGGAAGGAAGAGAGAUAGAAAGAGAUGAUAUAUAAGUUGAUUGUAAAGCUACAGUAGAUUAUAAAACCAAGUCAAGACAAGUUAUUUUAUGUAUAUACUUGCUGGUAUUUCAAGAUGGCUUCAAAUCCGCGUGGUUCGAAUGCACGAAACACGUGUCCUCGACAAUUUUACGAGUCCACUUGUGCAGCAUAUUCCAAUUGAUGGGAUUCAAAAAGUAUAUCAAGUGGACCGUAGAACUGUGGAAUCUAUAGACCUUCAACCUGUUACAGUAACAGUGAAGAAGAAACCGGAAAAAUAAUUAAUGAUCUAAUAAAUCAACAACACCGUUAGUUACACAGCAAGAUUUAUAAGUGAUGAAUAAAAUAAGUAUUAGUUACAUAAAAAAAAA